GACGAACGCUGGCGGCGUGCUUAACACAUGCAAGUCGAACGGUGAGGCCCUGUCUUUGUUGGGUGCUCGGGUGGCGAAGGGGUGAGUAACACGAGAGUAACCUGCCCUUCCCUUUGGUUUAACUUCAGCACAUUGGGGCGAAUCCCGGAUAGGAUAUCCUGCUGCUUGGUGGGGGUUGGUAUGUUUCUGCGGUUGGGGCUGGGCGCGCGGCUUAUCAGCGUGUUGGUGGGGUUGUGGCGUACCACGGCUUUGACGGGUGGCCGGCCUGAGCGGGUGACAGGCCACGUUGGGACUGAGAUACGGGCCAGACUCCUACGGGAGGCAGCAGUGGGGGAUAGUGCACAGUGGGCGGGAGGCGGAUGCAGCAACGCCGCGUGCGUGAUGAAGGCCUUCGGGUUGUAAACCGCUUUUGCCUGUGACGAAGCGGGAGUGACGGUAAUUGGUAAAGAAGCGCCGGCUAACUACGUG
rnacentral:rRNA from 1 species